UUGGGUGCGUCUCUGCCACCAUCGCCUGCCAGCAGCCUCCUGAGAGUGACAGCUCUGCUACCAGCCUCCAGCACUGGAAUGUGUUCUGGAAAGAAAAGGCUGCAGGUUCUACCCAGAAAUGGGGAUGAAGUGUAUGAAAGUUGGCAAAAAGAAGAGAGAGGGGGGCUGGCUGAACCAAAGAACAGCCGAGAAAGACCAAGAGGUCCUUUCUUUAUAUCCCUGUUAUCUGUUAAUUCAGCUCCUGGAGGGGAGAGGCUGACUGUGCCCGGGGUUAGGUGAGGCCAGCCUGGCACAGCAUCUCCAAACCCGAGUGUAAUUCUUUGGGACCAGAAAGUUGCUGAAUAUCAGAAUCUCUGGUGAUAUAUGCAGUGCCGAGCUGGAGAGGGACGCAGUGGAUUUAUAAUGCAGCAGGCAGAGGAAGCACAGAUGUGUUGAGAGAGAGAGAUACUAAUUGCUUACAUAUUUAAAACAGCGUCUUUAGUCUGAAUGGGAGGCACCAUUAAGCAAAACAGAGCUAUUAACUGGGGCCACUUGGAAAGCUGCCAUUUCCCUUUCUGUGCACAGCUUUUUUUGCAUCAAUAAAAGGUACCUUGCUCGGGGUGCGAUGUUGCCGGCGUUGUGUGGGCGCUAACCCAGGACACCGAGGUGCUCUGCGCUGGGUUGCCAAUCACAGUGGCGAUGAGCAAGAACGGAAGCCUCGGAUGCCUCGGUGGAGGUUGAGCAGUAAGUGGGGGAAUCGUUCAGUGCACAGUGGGAGCUGGUUUGCCUGCAUGAGGACCCUCCCAGGGGCAGGGACAGCCUAUCUGCUGGGAUGCUGCUUCUGCUGAGGAGCAGCUUGUCUUAAGAGACAUGCUGGGAUUUGACUCUGCUCCUGCAUAAGUCGGUGGAAAUGCUGCUGUUACCUGGAAUGAAAAAAUGCCUCCUUGCAGGGUGAGCUGAGAGUUGAGCUUGAUGCCCUUCACUGGAGAGCUUCAGCGCUAGGACUUUGCACAAAGAGCUCUCUGAAUCCUGUACUUGGUGUCAUCUGUUGCUUUAUUCCUCUGAAAGAUGUAGGGUCUGAGAGAAAGGUCAUGCCUCAGCUGAUCAGGCUUCAAACAGGGGACCAGGACCUUGAAGUACAGUCGGGUUUGAGUGAGGAGGCAGCAGGCUCUAUAGAAGAAGCAGGAGCAGUGCAGCUUGCUGAAAUAUUUGGUAAUCAAUUAACGAGGUGGUGCAACAUCACCGAGUGUGACUCUGCAAUGAAAACCCAGAGAUCUUGUUGCAUUGCUGAGGAAUAAAUUGUGCAUGAGCUGGAGUUUUACCCUAGUGAUAGAAACGAAUGAGUAGAGUAGGGAGUGAUUGUGAGAGAGGACAUUUACUCUGCCUUCACUCCAAGUCCAUCCUUUGCAGCAUCCUGGCUGGGUUUGGGUGAGAAGGAGACAACGCACCCCAGUUUAAUGCGUUGCUCAUUAUCCUGAAGAUCUGCAAACUGCCUUGGAACAAUUGCUGUAGUUCCUCAAGUGUCAAGAGCCGUUCUGCACAUUCCGUUCUCUCUGAAUCCUCACAUGAUUCAGCUUAAGCAGGUGCAUAAAUGUUGCAGGAGUGGGUCCGUGAGCAUCCAGAGCCUCAAUUUUCUGUCUCAUUUGUAAGACGAGUUGCAGGAAGAUGAGAGCAAACUGUCACAAAUAGACUGUUGUGGUAGAGUAAUAUGCCUGAGACAGAAUAAAAGGCUAUUAUAUCUUCUAGUCCCUAAUAAUUUGAGGAAAUAAUUCUGUAUCCAGAACAUUUGCAGUAAAUAUAAUAAGGUGUACUUAAAAAAAACAAACCCAAACUACAAAGUCUUAGCAUAAUGGCAAAAAGUAACUGCACCAGAACAAUAUUGCAUGUUGCUACUUUGAAGGGAGAAGAGAAAAAGAGUGGCAUUUUUCCAUUUGCCUUUGACCUUUGAGAAAUAUCAGGAGUGUGUAAUAGCCACAUUCACCAACAAUAGCUCAGAGGAUUCAGGGAAAUGAGAGUUAAACACCUGGGGACAUUUACAAACAACUGGCAGAGAGGCAAUGAAUGUAAGAUGCCAGUAUGAAAGGCACAGAUACACAGAGUGCAAAAAUAAUGCAUAUUUAAAAUGCUUCUAAGCCGUGUGAGAAGCAUCACUGAGAAAGGUCCUGAGCAGCAAAGCUUCUGAACAAGCAAAGGAGGGGCAGAGAUCAUCACCCAUGAGAAGACCUGGUGCAGAGAGAGGUCUCAGGGGACCUUUCUCCAUCAACUCUGUAAUGCUGCAGAACACAUAUAACCUUUAUCAUAUCUGUCAGCCCAAAUGAACAAAGUUUACAGCCCAUUUUAUGCAGCUAAACAGUUCCCUGAUGUGAUGAACGGGUGUGACAAACGGGAGCCUGGAUUAAUCAGGGCUGCAAUGUUUCAUUGCCUCAUUAUUGGCAAAAAAAACCCCUCUGGCCCUAGGUGCUUUCUCUAGUGAAACCCUUGGUCCCUCCUGUGAAAGUCAAACAACCCCCAAAGGGGCAUGCUGUGUCUUUUCCUCCCCAGUAAGUUCAUCAGCAGGAAGGAGGGAU